GUGCCAGCAGCCGCGGUAAUACAGGGGGCGCGAGCGUUGCUCGGAAUCACUGGGCGUAAAGCGAACGCAGGCGGACUGUUAAGUCGCAUGUGAAAGCCCGGGGCUCAACCCCGGAAGUGCAUGCGAAACUGGCAGUCUUGAGUACGGGAGAGGUGGGUGGAAUUCCUGGUGUAGAGGUGAAAUUCGUAGAUAUCAGGAGGAACACCGGUGGCGAAAGCGGCCCACUGGCCCGAUACUGACGCUCAUGUUCGAAAGCGUGGGGAGCAAACAGGAUUAGAAACCCCCGUAGUCC
rnacentral:rRNA from 1 species